GACGAACGCUGGCGGCGUGCUUAACACAUGCAAGUCGAACGGAAAGGCCCUGCUUUUGUGGGGUGCUCGAGUGGCGAACGGGUGAGUAACACGUGAGUAACCUGCCCUCGACUUUGGGAUAACUUCAGGAAACUGGGGCUAAUACCGGAUAGGAGCUCCUGCUGCAUGGUGGGGGUUGGAAAGUUUCGGCGGUUGGGGAUGGACUCGCGGCUUAUCAGCUUGUUGGUGUGGUAGUGGCUUACCAAGGCUUUGACGGGUAGCCGGCCUGAGAGGGUGACCGGCCACAUUGGGACUGAGAUACGGCCCAGACUCCUACGGGAGGCAGCAGUGGGGAAUAUUGCACAAUGGGCGGAAGCCUGAUGCAGCAACGCCGCGUGCGGGAUGACGGCCUUCGGGUUGUAAACCGCUUUCGCCUGUGACGAAGCGUGAGUGACGGUAAUGGGUAAAGAAGCACCGGCUAACUACGUG
rnacentral:rRNA from 1 species